CAUGCCCGGCACCACGAUUCCCACGCCCCGCACCUCCUCCUCCCAAUGACCAGAGCACGGCCGGGCAUCCGCCGCCGCCCGCCCAUCCUCGCCCUCCCCGCCUCCGCUCCACGGUCGAGCCUCCAUCCUCCGCUGCCACCGUGGGGGACUUGCGCACGCGGGGCAGCUGCCGGCGAACAUGGCCGCACCCAAGACCGUGGCGCGCGCUGCCCAACGUGGAACACCGGUCUCUUCCCUGCCGUCGGUGGCCUCUCUGCUGCCACGUCCGUCCUUGUCCGGCCAUAUCUCCUACGGAACAGGCUGCUCCAUCCGUCGGUACCUAGCCACCAUGGUGUCUCUUUCCCUCUCAAUCCAUUCUUCUCUUUGUUUUUCAACUGGAGAAAAAUGCAUCGCACUCUGCAGUCCCUCCUCCGACAGAGAGCCGCACCCGGCCGCCCCCGUUCCUCCGGCAGAGCCCCCGCCCGGACGCCCUCGCUCCUCCGGCAGAGGCAACGCCGCGCCCAGCCGCCCCCGCUCCCCCAGCAACGUGCCUCACAACGGCUCCUACGCGCUCCUCCGCAGUGCACCAGCGCACCUACGCGCUCCUCCUCAACCAGAGCCCAAAGCUCCUCCACAACGCACCAGCGCUCCUCCGCCGCCGGACGCCGGCUUCUGCACCCAGGCACCGCCCGCGCACAUCCGGUCCACACCUUUCAGCUCACGCUGCCGCCGACCCUCCAUACCUGCCCGUCGAGCUCUCGGCAACUCGAGUUCUUCCGAGGAGUGUUCUUCGUUCAAUGACCUGCCUGAUAAUGGGAAUGUAGCCCCAUGUGAAAAUCUGCGAAAACAACUGAAGAAUUACAUCCCGAAUGUCAGAUGAUAAAAUAAUCGAACAUGAGUUUUGCUGAAAUAUUGGUGCAUGUUUCUCAGGAGGAUCUCGUAAUGCCAUAAUCCAUAGUUUUUCAGUAAGGUGAGUGGUUUCUGGAAGUACAUGCGUCGCAUGUCCAUGUACUCCUACCAUUCACAUUAUCAAGUGCAUUGAUGACAGCAUCAAGGCCCUCACCGCCUGCCCGCCUCAUCUCGACGGAUUUAGAGGCAUGCGGGAGCUGCCACAGCCGUCACCGAGAAUGUGGGCGCAUGCGGGGCGGCCGCCGGCGAACAAAGGUCGUGCGUGAGUCCGAAUUAAUUUAUCCAAGAUUUUUGAAUUUAAACACUCAGAGCUCUCCGCCACCAGCAUACUCCCGGUCAGUGCUCUCCUGCCCAAGUCUUAUUACUGAAUUUCAAAAGGCUUGCACAAUUUCUAUAUCAAUGAACACAAACAAGCAGUGAAUGGAUUUCCCCCCUAUCAUCUUUUCCUGAGUACAAUUUCUAUAUCAAUGAAAGGACAACCAUUUUCUUUCUAUUUUUGGUUCUUGUGGCACAUGUUGUCCAUAUUCUAUGAAUAUUUGAUAUAAUGUACUCCUAUGCAUCACUCCAGAUAAUUUAGCACUUCAGAUUUUGUUGGUUCAUUUGCAAACACAUUUCUGGGGACACACGAUCCGUUUGGUCACAUGCAUGCUUCUCAUAUUAGUACAAAUGAAAAUGUUUAAGGAAAUCUGGAGGUGAGCAUCAUAACAUAUUUCUUGAUGAUUCCGAUGUUUGACAAUUUGUAUGAAGAAAUUGGGGUGAUACAUGCACAUUGUUGGAAUUCUGUUGCUAUGCUAUGAACCUGUCAGUUUAUCCACGAAUUGUAAUGUUCAUGCUGCCACAGAAUCUUGGAUAAAUUAAUUUGUUUGCUGGUCCAGUUAUGAUUUUCAGUGCAGAAAUAAAUUAGAAAUGGUUAGUCUGAGGAUAAAUUAAUUUUGGACUUCAGGUUCUUGUCUUACUGAAAUACAUUUGAGAUUUUUAGUCAAUUUUGGGAUAGGAAGUGAUUUUCUUUAGUCAUGCAAAAUUUGGUGCAGAGUCCGAAUGAAAUGCUGCCAGGAAUCAAGUGUUAGUUGGUGAAACAACAUCUUCAAAGUCUAGGGUAAAGUGGGAGAGAUGCUACACUUACGCGCACAUUUCUACGGAAUUAAGUUACAGACUGAUGUGUUGAAUCUUGAUUGGAAAUCUCGAGAGGGUGUGACCCAGGCCCUGAAAAUCAGGGGGAGUGGUUAGUGCAGGGAGGAGUCUGUAAGUGGGCUCCCGUAGGUCUUGCCUGGAAGUAGGAUUUUCGGGUGGCCACUAACCUGUCUCCCUAACAAUUUACUCUUUUCCUCUGUAGAAUCUGGUGGAUGGCAACAAAUUCAGGCUAUGGACAGAUGAUUUCAAAGAUUACGAAACUAUUUCUUUUAUGGAAUGAGAUUACCCACAUAAUAAUUCAGAAGAGUAGUACUUUAUCUUACUACCUUGAGAAGUUCAUCACAUGGUUGCAGAUGAGACUGAACACCCUGAUGUGUUGUUGGAGGAGGUGGUGAUCCGGUCAUGUUAUGCCCAUUAGGAAAUAUAAGGAGCUGAACUGGUCUUUUUGGUGCGUGGCUGGUCGUGGUGUUUCUAGGAAUGCCUCUAUGGCAAUACACAGGUGAAUCAUUUCAGCGGUAUUUCUUCUAUGAAGUGUGUGGUUCACUCCAGCUAUUGCAAAUGUUCGACACCUAAAAGUAGGUUUGCUUUCUUCUAUACAUGUAUGUAGUGUGCAUGAUUUGUAGUAAAAUGCAAUGAAAGUUUGUGAUAACUCAAGAAACACCAACAGGUAGUACAUGGAAUUUGUCUGGUGUGAGAACAAGUCAUAAAUUUAAUACCAUUUCUGUAGGAACGAAAACACCACCAUUUCUAUUUUUCUGUUUUUUACAGCAAAUAAUGUUACAUUUUUGGAUAAUCCAAUGUAGGGAAAUCUGAUUGUUACUUUGGCUCCUUUAUACUUUUGCUUAGAUUUUUAGUAGUUUAGAAAGCAAGUCUCACAUUUUUCACACAGGUUUUCACUCCUACUUGGGUAUGUUCUGCUUAUGGGUAAUGGAGGGAUUCACAAACUUGAUGAAAUUUCUACCAUUGUUUGCUUGAUUAGUACUCCCUCUGUAAAGAAAUAUAAGAGUGUUUAGAUUUUUAGUGAUCCAAACACUCUUAUAUUUCUUUACGGAGGGAGUAUAUUCUUAGUACAGAACAGAAGAAUGCUAUUUUCUGUUCACCUACAAUAAAAAUUCUUUCUUUUACCUACAUUAUCAUUUCUUAUUAUUCUCUCUUUAGCACGAAUAUGCAAAGAUACAAGAUAAACUCAUGAUCUACUGUACUAACUGCAGAUCAUCCUUUUCAAUCAACAGGCUGGUACGAGAUGUUAAAAUGGGUUCCUAUUUGUCUACCAUCAUUCUUCUAUUUCAAAAGUGUUAAUUCCAUCGAUUUCUUGCUUAUAUGUAUACUGACUGCAGAUUGGCUGAAAUUCAGUUUGCAAAACCCAUGAUCCAAUCCAUGCUUUGUGUUAUGCUACUGCUGGCCUUGUCCUUCCAAAUAGAUAAAUGCAUGAUGGACCUGAGGUAGCUCCUACCGAUGCUUACAUGUUGUCAACAUUAGAUGAUGAUUUGGUUAGUGACUAUUUAAAAAAAAUAUUCUCAAUCUAACACGUACACUAUAUUUACAUGUUAGUUUUGUUUUUGAAUUGGCUCAUGGGUGUAUUUCAUAUAUGUGUUGACCCCGUGAAGUUGCAAGUUUCUUUUUCUUACAUAAGGGGAUAUUGAGCGCUCUCACUGAAGCCUUUGCAAAAUUUUCUUCUUUGGUACUAAGCAAAGAUUAAAACUAUGCCAGUCAUGGUGUUCUUUUAGUUGGGUUCAUACGGCUUUAAAAGAUUAUUUAUUUAAAGGUAUGUAAAUUUUGGAUCUAUAGUGAUUUUUUUCUAUUGAAGAAGACAUGGAAAUUCAUAGUUUAUCAGUUUACAUUCUUUGUAAUUUAUCAAUUUAAGUGAAAUAAGUGAUGUAAUUAUAAACAUAUGGGAAUUUAUUGUGCUUUCGACAUAUUCGUUUUGAUUAUUAUUA